rnacentral:rRNA from 1 species
UAAUACGUAGGGUGCGAGCGUUAAUCGGAAUUACUGGGCGUAAAGCGUGCGCAGGCGGUUUUGUAAGCCAGAUGUGAAAUCCCCGGGCUUAACCUGGGAAUGGCAUUUGGGACUGCAAGGCUGGAGUUUGGCAGAGGAGACUGGAAUUCCUGGUGUAGCAGUGAAAUGCGUAGAUAUCAGGAGGAAUACCGAUGGCGAAGGCAGGUCUCUGGGCUAUAACUGACGCUCAUGCACGAAAGCGUGGGGAGCAAACAGGAUUAGAUACCCUGGUAGUCCACGCCCUAAACGAUGUCGACUGGUUGUUGGGGGUUUGACACUCUCAGUAACGAAGCUAACGCGUGAAGUCGACCGCCUGGGGAGUACGGCCGCAAGGUU